UUUUCAAGGUAAAAGAAACGAAAUUACGAUACAGAUACGAUAUUCGCUAAGAACAAAAUCACAUUGUCGUAUUUAACAAUCGACAGGAAUGGUCGAUUGACGUGGAACUCAAUGGGCUUCGGCGGUGACCAAAUGCUCGAAAGAGGCCUUACACUGAGACCUGCCACAAGUAAUUAAUACUGAAUUAUUCAUUUGAGCCACAAGCACGAAAUAAAUAGAGGAAGAAUUGGAUCACUACAAUGUGCUAUGUUAUUAUAUCAAAAUUAUGGUGAGCGAAAUGACAUGAUUGGAAAACCAUUAAACUCAUAAUAUAGAAGAUUUUGCUAUAUUAGAGUGAAUAUGAAGAAAGGAAAAAGAGCGGAGAAAUUGAUAGUACGUAUAGUUCUUGACAAGAAUAGACAAAGUAAUUGACCGAAAUAAAAACAUAUAACAUAAUCAAGGAAAUCACGCAGUUGUCUCGCAGUCGAUGACGUGGCCUUUGAAGAGAACUACGUUGUCAUCCCGUGAUGUAAUUGCAUAAAAGAGUGGUCCAUUUACUCGAAACUCUUCUAGGGAAGGAAACAAGAGGGCCUCAAUCUCCAUUUCUAUUGAAAAAAAUUGUUCAAAUCUCGGCGACCGGAGUCCGAUUUUUCUUCCACGACCCAAGAAAUGAGAAGAAUAAUACAGCACUACCCCAGCAGCAACAUCUACAUCUAGCAACUAAACUAUCACGGCCUAUUCGCCUCAUAUACUUAGCUUCUCUAUAUAUAGUAUCUUAAUAUUACUUUUCAUUAAAUGAUUAAGAUAUUGUAUAAAAUAAACUAAUAUGCAACAUAAACAUGUGACAGCACAUAAUAACAGACAAUUAAAUAUUAAUGCAAAGAACUGUACAUUUAGAAAUAACAGAAAGUAUAAUAUUUCAUGCAGCAAACCAAACAUGAGGAAGCAUUUUGAACUAUUGUGUACACACAUAAACACGGUAUAGAUAUAUAUUUUUUGAUGUAAUGGAUUUAAACUUAUACAGAGAAAAUGAAUACACAUAGCUUGCAAAAAAUUAGGAGGAACAUACAUGCAAAUUUUUAUUAAUUAGACUGAAAUAUUAAAAUAUGAAAUAAUAAUACUAACAAUCAUUCUCUCCAAACUAUUCAAAAGCUCAAAAGAAUCAUAAAUUAAGCAAAAAUUGAAACCAAGCAAAAUACUGUCAUUUUAUGUGAUAAAUUUAUGUGUUUUUGUAUACUUAUCUUCUAGUAUAUCAUAUAUAAUAACAUGAUAUUGUUAUAAUAUUAA